AGAGUUUGAUCAUGGCUCAGAUUGAACGCUGGCGGCAGGCCUAACACAUGCAAGUCGAACGGUAACAGAAAGAAGCUUGCUUCUUUGCUGACGAGUGGCGGACGGGUGAGUAAUGUCUGGGAAACUGCCUGAUGGAGGGGGAUAACUACUGGAAACGGUAGCUAAUACCGCAUAACGUCGCAAGACCAAAGAGGGGGACCUUCGGGCCUCUUGCCAUCGGAUGUGCCCAGAUGGGAUUAGCUUGUUGGUGGGGUAACGGCUCACCAAGGCGACGAUCCCUAGCUGGUCUGAGAGGAUGACCAGCCACACUGGAACUGAGACACGGUCCAGACUCCUACGGGAGGCAGCAGUGGGGAAUAUUGCACAAUGGGCGCAAGCCUGAUGCAGCCAUGCCGCGUGUAUGAAGAAGGCCUUCGGGUUGUAAAGUACUUUCAGCGGGGAGGAAGGGAGUAAAGUUAAUACCUUUGCUCAUUGACGUUACCCGCAGAAGAAGCACCGGCUAACUCCGUGCCAGCAGCCGCGGUAAUACGGAGGGUGCAAGCGUUAAUCGGAAUUACUGGGCGUAAAGCGCACGCAGGCGGUUUGUUAAGUCAGAUGUGAAAUCCCCGGGCUCAACCUGGGAACUGCAUCUGAUACUGGCAAGCUUGAGUCUCGUAGAGGGGGGUAGAAUUCCAGGUGUAGCGGUGAAAUGCGUAGAGAUCUGGAGGAAUACCGGUGGCGAAGGCGGCCCCCUGGACGAAGACUGACGCUCAGGUGCGAAAGCGUGGGGAGCAAACAGGAUUAGAUACCCUGGUAGUCCACGCCGUAAACGAUGUCGACUUGGAGGUUGUGCCCUUGAGGCGUGGCUUCCGGAGCUAACGCGUUAAGUCGACCGCCUGGGGAGUACGGCCGCAAGGUUAAAACUCAAAUGAAUUGACGGGGGCCCGCACAAGCGGUGGAGCAUGUGGUUUAAUUCGAUGCAACGCGAAGAACCUUACCUGGUCUUGACAUCCACGGAAGUUUUCAGAGAUGAGAAUGUGCCUUCGGGAACCGUGAGACAGGUGCUGCAUGGCUGUCGUCAGCUCGUGUUGUGAAAUGUUGGGUUAAGUCCCGCAACGAGCGCAACCCUUAUCCUUUGUUGCCAGCGGUCCGGCCGGGAACUCAAAGGAGACUGCCAGUGAUAAACUGGAGGAAGGUGGGGAUGACGUCAAGUCAUCAUGGCCCUUACGACCAGGGCUACACACGUGCUACAAUGGCGCAUACAAAGAGAAGCGACCUCGCGAGAGCAAGCGGACCUCAUAAAGUGCGUCGUAGUCCGGAUUGGAGUCUGCAACUCGACUCCAUGAAGUCGGAAUCGCUAGUAAUCGUGGAUCAGAAUGCCACGGUGAAUACGUUCCCGGGCCUUGUACACACCGCCCGUCACACCAUGGGAGUGGGUUGCAAAAGAAGUAGGUAGCUUAACCUUCGGGAGGGCGCUUACCACUUUGUGAUUCAUGACUGGGGUGAAGUCGUAACAAGGUAACCGUAGGGGAACCUGCGGUUG
rnacentral:rRNA from 3 species